CGGGGCGUGGCGCAGUUUGGUAGCGCGCACGGUUCGGGUUCGUGAGGUCGGCAGUUCGAAUCUGCCCGCCCCGACAA
rnacentral:tRNA from 1 species